rnacentral:misc_RNA from 1 species
UAAUAAGUGUUUUAUGGCACUUUUUAAAUCCAUAUCCACCUUGUGUGCAAUGUCAGUCGAUCUUCUUCAUUUGAGGAUCGACCAAACAUCAACCUUUAUCUUUUAACUCUUUGUCUGAAAAAUAUUAUGAAUAAACAAUUCAAAAUA